UGGCAGUGGAGGGAGGAGAUGGACACUUUGGUCUGGUUCCAGGUACAAUGCUCUUCAUAAACAAGUGGUUCUGAGUACCUUCUCCUUCUGAUGUCAUCAGCCGGGCUGUCUUCAGAAUGCUGAACAGGAGAAUGCAGAGAAGAGUGGUUCAAGGGGAAGACAGUCUGCAGAAGAGUCUCUAUCGCUCCAUCUAGACCUUCGCACACAUCUCCUUUAAUGAUUAGUUCCAGCAUCCACAUACUAGAAUGAGAACACAGAAUCCCAUAAGACACAGAAGCCACUCCGGGCAAUUCAGACAACAGAGCUAUGCUAAUGACUACCAAUAUGGAAGAACUGUUGGAAGAUGUCAGCAUUUUGCAAUAGCUGACAUUUGCAUAAUCCUCAAAUGUAUGGCUAUCCUUCCUUCAGCAUGGCUUCCAAGGACACAUUUUACUAUUGGCUCAUCUAUGGCUUUUGUCCAAUGCUUUAGCAACUGUGAUAUCAUUUCUGGGUGUGUGUGAACUCAGAGACUCUCAAUAGCUCCAUUUAUCCUGAUGAGACUUGCUCAUAGGUUCUAACAUGGUCUCAGCAUCUGUGAGUCCUUAAGUGACCAUAUCAGCAUUUGGAACUAUGACUG
rnacentral:lncRNA from 1 species